GACAGCAGCAGCCGCGGUAAUACGUAGGGUGCGAGCGUUAAUCGGAAUUACUGGGCGUAAAGCGUGCGCAGGCGGUUCGUUAAGACAGAUGUGAAAUCCCCGGGCUUAACCUGGGAACUGCAUUUGUGACUGGCGAGCUAGAGUAUGGUAGAGGGUGGUGGAAUUUCCUGUGUAGCGGUGAAAUGCGUAGAGAUGUGGAGGAAUACCGAUGGCGAAGGCAGCCCCCUGGGCCAAUACUGACGCUCAUGCACGAAAGCGUGGGGAGCAAACAGGAUUAGAUACCCCCGUAGUCCCUGUCUCUUAUAA
rnacentral:rRNA from 1 species